rnacentral:rRNA from 1 species
CGAACGAGAAAGUGGAGCAAUCCAUGAGUAAAGUGGCGACCGGGUGAGUAACACGUGACUAACCUACCUCCGAGUGGGGAAUAACUCCGGGAAACCGGGGCUAAUACCGCAUAACAUCGCAAGAUCAAAGCAGCAAUGCGCUUGGAGAGGGGGUCGCGGCUGAUUAGCUAGUUGGCGGGGUAACGGCCCACCAAGGCGAAGAUCGGUAUCCGGCCUGAGAGGGCGCACGGACACACUGGAACUGAAACACGGUCCAGACUCCUACGGGAGGCAGCAGUGGGGAAUUUUGCGCAAUGGGGGAAACCCUGACGCAGCAACGCCGCGUGGAGGAUGAAGUCCCUUGGGACGUAAACUCCUUUCGACCAAGACGAUAAUGACGGUACUGGUGGAAGGAGCACCGGCUAACUCUGUGCCAGCAGCCGCGGUAAUACAGAGGGUGCGAGCGUUGUUCGGAAUUAUUGGGCGUAAAGGGCGCGUAGGCGGCCUUCUAAGUCGAACGUGAAAUCCCCGGGCUCAACCCGGGAACUGCGUCCGAUACUGGAAGGCUUGAAUCCGGGAGAGGGAUGCGGAAUUCCAGGUGUAGCGGUGAAAUGCGUAGAUAUCUGGAGGAACACCGGGUGGCGAAGGCGGCAUCCUGGACCAAUUCUGACACUGAGGGAGCGAAAGCCAGGGGAGCAAACGGGAUUAGAUACCCCGGUAGUCCUGGCCCUAAACGAUGAAUGCUGGGGUGUGGCGGGUAUCGAUCCCUGCCGUGCCGAAGCUAACGC